UCUCUAAGGAACUCGGCAAAAUGACUCCGUAACUUCGGGAGAAGGAGUGCCUUAUUUAUAAGGUUGCAAUAACAAGAUCCAAGCAACUGUUUACCAAAAACACAGGUCUCCGCUAAGUCGUAAGACGAUGUAUGGGGGCUGACGCCUGCCCAGUGCCAGAAGGUUAAAGAAGUUGGUUAGCCUAGCGAAGCUGAUGACUGAAGCCCUGGUGAACGGCGGCCGUAACUAUAACGGUCCUAAGGUAGCGAAAUUCCUUGUCGGGUAAGUUCCGACCCGCACGAAAGGCGUAAUGAUUUGGAUACUGUCUCGGAGAGGGGCUCGGUGAAAUAGACUUGUCUGUGAAGAUGCGGACUACCUGCACCUGGACAGAAAGACCCUAUGAAGCUUUACUGUAACUUGAGAUUGAGAUUGGACUUUAUUUGCGCAGUAUAGGUGGGAGACGUUGAGAAUAUUCUUGCGGGAAUAUUGGAGUCAUCAGUGAGAUACCACUCUUGUAAUGUUAGAUUUCUAACUUUGUAUCAUUAUCUGGUCAAAGGACAGUUUCAGGCGGGCAGUUUGACUGGGGCGGUCGCCUCCCAAACGGUAACGGAGGCGCACAAAGGUUUCCUCUGAACGUGUAGAAAUCGUAUCUAGAGUGUAAAGGCAUAAGGAAGCUUGACUGUGAGACCUACAAGUCGAGCAGGGACGAAAGUCGGUCUUAGUGAUCUGACGGUGCUGAGUGGAAAGGCCGUCACUCAACGGAUAAAAGUUACUCUAAGGAUAACAGGCUGAUCUCCCCCAAGAGUUCACAUCGACGGGGAGGUUUGGCACCUCGAUGUCGGCUCAUCGCAGCCUGGGGCGGUAGUACGUCCCAAGGGUUGGGCUGUUCGCCCAUGAAAGCGGUACGCGAGCUGGGUUCAGAACGUCGUGAGACAGUUCGGUCCAUAUCCGGUGUAGGCGUUAGAAUAUUGAGAGGAGCCUUCUUUAGUACGAGAGGACCGAGAAGGACAUACCUCUGGUGUACCAGUUAUCGUGCCAACGGUAAACGCUGGGUAGCUAUGUAUGGAGUGGAUAACCGCUGAAAGCAUCUAAGUGGGAAGCCCACCUCAAGAUAAGUAUUCUCAUCACGUAAGUGAGUAAGGUCACGGUAAGACUAACCGUUUAAUAGGCAUCAAGUGUAAAUGUAGUAAUAUAUGAGCUGAGAUGUGCUAACAGACCGAGGACUU
rnacentral:rRNA from 1 species